rnacentral:rRNA from 1 species
AUUGAACGCUGGCGGUAUGCCUAACACAUGCAAGUCGAACGGCAGCACAGUAAGAUCUUGCUCUUACGGGUUGCGAGUCGCGUACGGAUUACAUCUAAAUCUGUCUCUACUUUUUCGUGGGGCAUACCGAAGCCGAACUAACACUAAUACCGCAUACCGCCUACGGGUGAAAGCAGGUGAUCUUCGGCCCUUGCGCGUUUGACUGAGCCGAUGUCGGAUUAGCUAGUUGGUGGGGUAAAGGCCCACCAAGGCGACGAUCCGUAGCUGGUCUGAGAGGAUGACCAGCCACACUGGGACUGAGACACGGCCCAGACUCCUACGGGAGGCAGCAGUGGGGAAUGUUGGACAAUGGGCGAAAGCCUGAUCCAGCAAUGCCGCGUGUGUGAAGAAGGCCUUCGGGUUGUAAAGCACUUUUGUCCGGAAAGAAAUCCUUGGCUCUAAUACAGUCGGGGGAUGACGGUACCGGAAGAAUAAGCACCGGCUAACUACGUG